UCUCAUGGAAAACAUGAUAUAUUUAUAAACUUAGGUCCUGCUUAGAGGAGUGAAUCAUUUGCUACUUGCUGAGUAAAAGGUCCUCUUAUAAUAGCAAGGCUAAUCUGACAGUGUUUAUUUUCCCCAGGGAAUAAAGCCUUUGCAAGAAUCCUGAGUUGAAGGGAUGCAGGGGAACAUUGCUGAAAUGCAGAGAUUUCACACAAGAAGCUUCCUGAACUACCAAGGGCUAGGAUUUCUAAGAAUUGAUCUGGCCUUUCCACUGCAUCUGAGCAACAUGCCUAUAGAACUUUAUCAAUGGACUUUUGACCCUUUGGUAUCUUCUGAAAUGCAGCAGCAUAUAUGGAUGGUCUGAAUGCUGUUUUCACAAGUAUUCUCUGCCUGAACACAGGUCCAGUUUGAUCCAGCAGCCUCAUUCAGUGUGCCCUGUUCCAGUGUCACAGGAACCUGUAGAUAAUUCUCUUCUGUUUCUUUUGGAGUAUUUCCUCCUCCAUGUUCACAGCAAAACCUCUUUGCCUCUUUAUCAGUGGUAGUCCUCUACCCUUUUCCAUUCACUUGCUCUACCAAAAGCAAUUUCCUUUCCCAAUCAUCAGAUAAUAUUUAUGCAUUAAAAUCUGUGAAUAAUAAUAGAAAUACCCCAUUUCAAAAGCAGAGAAGCCAAAUAGACAAAAUUAAGCUGUUUUGCUGGAUAGGAACUUCUUUCUGAACUGCCUUUUCCUUCAAAUACCAUUUCAGCCCUAGUUUAGCUUUUCUCACUGAGCAAGAUUUUGUCUAUCAACUGAUAAUGUGAAAGUUUGAAACUUUUCAUAUCCAGCCUAGAUAGUACCUUAUAAGCAGUCCUUUGGCUUACAGGAAGAAAGCAUCAAUAGAAAUACAAUUUAUCUUGUGCUCAUCACCCGGAGGGGUUCUCAAGCACUCUGGAGCAGAUCUGCAGCUCACACGUGGGCAGAGCACCAGCACACAGCCCAAGGUGUGUGUCUGCAGGAAGAGGGGUUGGUCAGGCACAGACAGACACUCGUGCAGCUCUGCACACAUGCCUCUUCUCCAGUUUAAAUCUAAGUCUGACAUUCUGGCAGAACAUUUUAAUCAGGGCAAAAGUCAAGGAAAUGUGUUAUUGCCUCCCCCUUUCCCAUACCUGGACUGUUGUGUCUGAAAGAUCUUAUUUGCUGGGCUCUCCUAAUCCGUGGGCCCCUCUUGCCCCUCUCUGCUCAAGCCCACUGAGCUCAGGAGCCCAGCUGACACUUAUCACCCCAUUUCCUUAUCAGGCUCGAGGUAGCAUGGGCAUUUCUUCUCAUCACUUACACAGAUUUAAGAGGCAAACUAGAUCACAGUCCACUUUCAUGUUUCCUUCCUAAUGCAAGUUAUUCCAUUAACACUCUCGUGUCCACUUCAGAAGAUUUCACAGGCCAAAAUACUCUCACACAUCAAAGUAAAACUCUCCAGGCUGCUCAUAAAUAACUCCACAAGCAUAGACAACCAUAUUAUGCAACUAUGAAAACAAUUUUUCUGUACAAAUUCUUCAGAAGAUUAACAUCCUUUCAUAUUUGUUUCAUCUUAUGUAUCUCACAGAAGAGGAUCUAGGAGCACGGACAUGUUAUGAUGCAGAAAAUGCAGAAAAAGUUUCUCUUGGCUGAUGAGGUUACCAAGGCACUGUUAGGUAUGAGGAGGAAUCAUUGAUUCAGAGGAAUCAAUUUUUCUGGAAAAGGUUAUAUAUGUAUUGAGAAAUAAAAUAAAAGAGAGGGGGAAAUCACAACACAGGCAAAAAUAGCUUUCUAUAAGCUGCCCUUGGUUGCCAUGGUUCCUUACUUGCCUUGUCAAUAAAAAUUAUGAAUAAUAAUACCUAUAUGAAAGUCAGACAUAAUCACACUUCUAUUGCUGCCCUCACAAACAUACACAAAUUGUUACUCCUACACUGUAUUGAUUCUUUCCUCACUCUGGAACCACUUCAAGCAGGUCUUGAAGUUGCCAAACACUUUGGCACCUCAGAGUACAAAGCCAUGGGAUCCUUUUCCCCCCUACUCAGUGAUGUUCUUCCUGUGGCCUCUGAAGGUCCCCACUCAGGGCUGUGUGCCCAGUGCUCCCACAGGGGCUCUCCAGACAUUCUCUGCAGGGAUGCAGCACGGGCAUAGAAAGAACAAGGGAAAACAAGGUUGAAAAAUAUCCUCCCCAGGACAAAAUUUUCUGUGGCAGAAGCGAUGGACACAGAAAAUUUUUCUGGGGUAAGCACCUGAGGCUGUCACACCUGGUCAGACACAGACCUCUCCCUGCAUUGCAGUGAAUCCACACCCCGGCAUUCUCAAGAACAGGUUCUCAGCUGCUAGAUUUCAGCUCCUUCAGAAUUUAACAGACACAAAAAAAGCCCUUUCUUGGUUGUGGGAAAUUGUGCUUACCACGAAUCUAGGGUCCAACUCCUUUCCUUUACACAUCCCUACACACCCACCCCCUUCAAUUUCCCUCACCUUUCUGCUCCCAGGUUUAGCAGGUGUGACCUCAGAGGCUGUCAUGCUCAGCAGUAUCUUGCCUUUGGUAUAGACUCACAUUUUCCUCUGAGUUCUGGGCUAUAAAAUCAUCCAGAAGUCACUGCAUUGAAAGUAAGAGGUACUAACUUGAACCUUUGAGAAGGCAGGUACAUCCCUGCCAAAGAUACUGCUUUUUGAAUGUCAAAUUACCCUUUUUUUAAUGGAAAUUUAUUAAUAAAAUUAGUAAGCACUCAUAGGCUGUUUUUGCCUUCUGAAAAUAUUUAAUUUGGAAUUGUAUUUUAAUUGUCAAAUAAUAAAAUAUUUAGUUAAGUAUUCCCCCAGAAUACCAAAGAAUUCCAGACUGUUCUGCAAAGAUCUCAAAAAGCUCUGUAAGACAGGAUACUAAGGGAAUACAUGGAGACUUGACUA